rnacentral:rRNA from 1 species
CCUACGGGGGACAGCAGUGGGGAAUAUUGGGCAAUGGGCGCAAGCCUGACCCAGCAACGCCGCGUGAAGGCAGACGGCUUUCGGGUUGUAAACUUCUUUUAAGAGGGAAGAGCAGAAGACGGUCCCUCUUGAAUCAGCCACGGCUAACUACGUGCCCGCAGCCGCGGUAAUACGUAGGUGGCACGCGUUGUCCGGAUGUUCUGGGUGGAAAGGGCGUGCAGCCGGGACGUCAAGUCAGAUGUGAAAUCCCGCGGCUCAACCGCGGAACUGCAUUUGAAACUGUUUGUCGUGAGUACCGGAGAGGUCAGCGGAAUUCCUUGUGUAGCGGUGAAAGGCGUAGAUAUAAGGAAGAACACCAGUGGCGAAGGCGGAUGACUGGACGGCAACUGACGGUGAGGCUCGAAAGCGUGGGGAGCAAACAGGAUUAGAUACCCUUGUAGUC